GAUGAACGCUGGCGGCGUGCCUAAUACAUGCAAGUCGAGCGAACGGACGAGAAGCUUGCUUCUCUGAUGUUAGCGGCGGACGGGUGAGUAACACGUGGAUAACCUACCUAUAAGACUGGGAUAACUUCGGGAAACCGGAGCUAAUACCGGAUAAUAUUUUGAACCGCAUGGUUCAAAAGUGAAAGACGGUCUUGCUGUCACUUAUAGAUGGAUCCGCGCUGCAUUAGCUAGUUGGUAAGGUAACGGCUUACCAAGGCAACGAUGCAUAGCCGACCUGAGAGGGUGAUCGGCCACACUGGAACUGAGACACGGUCCAGACUCCUACGGGAGGCAGCAGUAGGGAAUCUUCCGCAAUGGGCGAAAGCCUGACGGAGCAACGCCGCGUGAGUGAUGAAGGUCUUCGGAUCGUAAAACUCUGUUAUUAGGGAAUAACAUAUGUGUAAGUAACUGUGCACAUCUUGACGGUACCUAAUCAGAAAGCCACGGCUAACUACGUG
rnacentral:rRNA from 1 species